rnacentral:rRNA from 1 species
UACGUAGGGUGCGAGCGUUAAUCGGAAUUACUGGGCGUAAAGCGUGCGCAGGCGGUUCGUUAAGUUCGUUGUGAAAGCCCCGGGCUCAACCUGGGAACGGCAAUGGAAACUGGCGGGCUUGAGUGCGGCAGAGGGGGGUGGAAUUCCGCGUGUAGCAGUGAAAUGCGUAGAGAUGCGGAGGAACACCGAUGGCGAAGGCAGCCCCCUGGGCUGACACUGACGCUCAGGCACGAAAGCGUGGGGAGCAAACAGG